rnacentral:rRNA from 1 species
UUAACACAUGCAGGUCGAGGGGCAUCAGGAAGAAAGCUUGCUUUCUUUGCUGGCGACCGGCGCACGGGUGAGUAACACGUAUCCAACCUGCCCUUUACUCGGGGAUAGCCUUUCGAAAGAAAGAUUAAUACCCGAUAGCAUAAUGAUUCCGCAUGGUUUCAUUAUUAAAGGAUUCCGGUAAAGGAUGGGGAUGCGUUCCAUUAGGUUGUUGGUGAGGUAACGGCCCACCAAGCCUUCGAUGGAUAGGGGUUCUGAGAGGAAGGUCCCCCACAUUGGAACUGAGACACGGUCCAAACUCCUACGGGAGGCAGCAGUGAGGAAUAUUGGUCAAUGGGCGCUAGCCUGAACCAGCCAAGUAGCGUGAAGGAUGAAGGCUCUAUGGGUCGUAAACUUCUUUUAUAUAAGAAUAAAGUGCAGUAUGUAUACUGUUUUGUAUGUAUUAUAUGAAUAAGGAUCGGCUAACUCCGUGCCAGCAGCCGCGGUAAUACGGAGGAUCCGAGCGUUAUCCGGAUUUAUUGGGUUUAAAGGGAGCGUAGGUGGACUGGUAAGUCAGUUGUGAAAGUUUGCGGCUCAACCGUAAAAUUGCAGUUGAUACUGUCAGUCUUGAGUACAGUAGAGGUGGGCGGAAUUCGUGGUGUAGCGGUGAAAUGCUUAGAUAUCACGAAGAACUCCGAUUGCGAAGGCAGCUCACUGGACUGCAACUGACACUGAUGCUCGAAAGUGUGGGUAUCAAACAGGAUUAGAUACCCUGGUAGUCCACACAGUAAACGAUGAAUACUCGCUGUUUGCGAUAUACAGUAAGCGGCCAAGCGAAAGCAUUAAGUAUUCCACCUGGGGAGUACGCCGGCAACGGUGAAACUCAAAGGAAUUGACAGGGGCCCGCACAAGCGGAGGAACAUGUGGUUUAAUUCGAUGAUACGCGAGGAACCUUACCCGGGCUUAAAUUGCAGUGGAAUGAUGUGGAAACAUGUCAGUGAGCAAUCACCGCUGUGAAGGUGCUGCAUGGUUGUCGUCAGCUCGUGCCGUGAGGUGUCGGCUUAAGUGCCAUAACGAGCGCAACCCUUAUCUUUAGUUACUAACAGGUUAUGCUGAGGACUCUAGAGAGACUGCCGUCGUAAGAUGUGAGGAAGGUGGGGAUGACGUCAAAUCAGCACGGCCCUUACGUCCGGGGCUACACACGUGUUACAAUGGGGGGGUACAGAAGGCAGCUAGCGGGUGACCGUAUGCUAAUCCCAAAAUCCUCUCUCAGUUCGGAUCGAAGUCUGCAACCCGACUUCGUGAAGCUGGAUUCGCUAGUAAUCGCGCAUCAGCCACGGCGCGGUGAAUACGUUCCCGGGCCUUGUACACACCGCCCGUCAAGCCAUGGGAGCCGGGGGUACCUGAAGUACGUAACCGCAAGGAUCGUCCUAGGGUAAAACUGGUGACUGGGGC